rnacentral:rRNA from 1 species
GAACUACAAGUGAAAAACUUGAAACUCAAAGGACUUGACGGUGUCCCAUAUCAGCCUAGAGGAGCCUGUCCUAUAAUCGAUACCCCCCGCUCCACCCCACCUUAGCUAGCAAAACUCAGCCUAUAUACCGCCGUCGNCNAGCCUACCCUAUGAAGGUCUAAUAGUAGACAUAAUAGUCAAACCACUAGUACGUCAGGUCAAGGUGUAGCAAAUGUUAAGGAAGUGAUUGGCUACAUUUUUUAUUAUAAAAAACACGGAAUGCACUAUGAAACCGUUCAUGAAGGUGAAUUUAGUAGUAAAACAGACAAGAGUGUCUGCUUUAACAAUGCUCUGGGACGUGUACACACCGCCCG